AAUAUCAAGUCUGACUAUAUCAACUGCUAACAUGUGACUGAUGGAUGGGUGAUCUGUUCUUGCAAACUGGGAUACCAGGUGGCAGCUGUUGAGAAUGGUGGGGACAUUUGUGUGGACACAGAAAGUAUAUGAGAUGCAGUUACUGCAUCCUCAGGCCCUGACCAUAGGGAUAUGAAUGCGAGAUAUGCAAACACUAUCAGUUGAUUGCAUCAGAGAAGCCCCUUUUUGUGCCAAACUGAAUGCAGUUUUCCAUUGUCCCAAACUGGAUUCUGCCUGUUCACA